rnacentral:rRNA from 1 species
UGUCUCCUACGGGACGCAGCAGUGGGGAAUAUUGCACAAUGGGGGAAACCCUGAUGCAGCAACGCCGCGUGAAGGAAGACGGUUUUCGGAUUGUAAACUUCUGUUCUUAGUGAAGAAAAAUGACGGUAGCUAAGGAGCAAGCCACGGCUAACUACGUGCCAGCAGCCGCGGUAAUACGUAGGUGGCAAGCGUUGUCCGGAAUUACUGGGUGUAAAGGGGGCGCAGACGGCAGCGCAAGCCAGGAGUGAAAGCCCGGGGCCCAACCCCGGGACUGCUCUUGGAACUGCGCGGCUGGAGUGCAGGAG